ACUCCUACGGGAGGCAGCAGUAGGGAAUCUUUCCACAAUGGGCGCAAGCCUGAUGGAGCAACACCGCGUGAGUGAAGAAGGGUUUCGGCUCGUAAAGCUCUGUUGUUAAAGAAGAACACGUAUGAGAGUAACUGUUCAUACGUUGACGGUAUUUAACCAGAAAGUCACGGCUAACUACGUGCCAGCAGCCGCGGUAAUACGUAGGUGGCAAGCGUUAUCCGGAUUUAUUGGGCGUAAAGAGAGUGCAGGCGGUUUUCUAAGUCUGAUGCGAAAGCCUUCGGCUUAACCGGAGAAGUGCAUCGGAAACUGGAUAACUUGAGUGCAGAAGAGGGUAGUGGAACUCCAGGUGUAGCGGUGAAAUGCGUAGAGAUCUGAAGGAAUACCAGUGGCGAAGGCGGCCCCCCUGGACAAAGACUGACGCUCAGAUGCGAAAGCGUGGGGAGCAAACAGGAUUAGAUACCCUGGUAGACAUCAC
rnacentral:rRNA from 1 species